GAUGAACGCUGGCUACAGGCUUAACACAUGCAAGUCGAGGGGAAACGACGGGGAAGCUUGCUUCCCCGGGCGUCGACCGGCGCACGGGUGAGUAACGCGUAUCCAACCUGCCUCUGACUGAGGGAUAACCCGUCGAAAGUCGGCCUAAUACCUCAUGGUAUCGUCUGCGGGCAUCCAACGACGAUUAAAGAUUUCAUCGGUCAGGGAUGGGGAUGCGUCUGAUUAGCUUGUUGGCGGGGUGACGGCCCACCAAGGCUACGAUCAGUAGGGGUUCUGAGAGGAAGGUCCCCCACAUUGGAACUGAGACACGGUCCAAACUCCUACGGGAGGCAGCAGUGAGGAAUAUUGGUCAAUGGGCGAGAGCCUGAACCAGCCAAGUAGCGUGCAGGAAGACGGCCCUAUGGGUUGUAAACUGCUUUUAUGCGGGGAUAAAGUGAGGGACGUGUCCCUCAUUGCAGGUACCGCAUGAAUAAGGACCGGCUAAUUCCGUG
rnacentral:rRNA from 1 species